AUGCAAGUCGAACGGAAAGGCCCUUCGGGGUACUCGAGUGGCGAACGGGUGAGUAACACGUGGGUGAUCUGCCCUGCACUUUGGGAUAAGCCUGGGAAACUGGGUCUAAUACCGAAUAUGACCAUGCACUUCCUGGUGUGUGGUGGAAAGCUUUUGCGGUGUGGGAUGGGCCCGCGGCCUAUCAGCUUGUUGGUGGGGUAAUGGCCUACCAAGGCGACGACGGGUAGCCGGCCUGAGAGGGUGACCGGCCACACUGGGACUGAGAUACGGCCCAGACUCCUACGGGAGGCAGCAGUGGGGAAUAUUGCACAAUGGGCGCAAGCCUGAUGCAGCGACGCCGCGUGAGGGAUGACGGCCUUCGGGUUGUAAACCUCUUUCAAUAGGGACGAAGCGCAAGUGACGGUACCUAUAGAAGAAGGACCGGCCAACUACGUGCCAGCAGCCGCGGUAAUACGUAGGGUCCGAGCGUUGUCCGGAAUUACUGGGCGUAAAGAGCUCGUAGGUGGUUUGUCGCGUUGUUCGUGAAA
rnacentral:rRNA from 1 species